rnacentral:lncRNA from 1 species
AAAAACAAAUAUUAUUAACUUAAUAAAAUCAUCAACUACAUAAUCAUUCAUUAUCUUUACAAUUAACCAUCUAAAGCUACCACAGUUCUUCAAUCAAAUAUAUCUACAUAUAUAGAGAGAGUACACUUCAUAAUUUUGUCCCUUGUCUUCCGUAAACGUAGCAAGAAAAUUUGAUACCCAGUAUUGUAAGGCAGAUCGUAGAAGCAAUCUUCCUGCACAUAUUUAAAAAUAAUAGCAAGUCAGAAAAAUGAAACAAAUAGGUCACCAGAGACACUUAAUGCCAAAAUCAAUACACAAAGAUAAUAGAGUUGCUACGUGUUACUAAUGUACACCGUAUUGCUCAUAAGCAGAAAAAGACAAAUAGGCAAUCACAAUAUCUUUUGCUACAAAUCCAAAUAGAAAAAGAACCUUCAGUGCGACUAUAUGAUUGCUCUGUUACAAAAAAAAAUUGGAAUCUUAAUCGGCCAUUUCAUGAAUUAAUUUCAGUAAACCUAGUGGUAAACAUAUUUUCUGUUACAAGACUUGUAUAUUAUUAUAUGUUGACCUCAAGUCAGAAUUCAGUCACAUUCAACAACCACAAGCAUCACACAAUCUUAAAUAACAAUGUUUAGAUUUCGAUAUAGAAAGGACAACAAUUAUGAAAAAUUUGAGGCUAUUAGUCAAUGUGGAAAAAUUUUUCUUGACGACAAAUUUUCAUACAGUAUAUGCCCCAAAGAUGCUAGCUAUAAUCACAGACAUUAUAGAUUUAAUUACACAUGAAUUCGUAUUGAUUGUUAUUAUAUUAUUUAUAAUCCAUGAACAUGUCUAUUAACUUAAUUAAAAAUUAAUAAAUAAUAGACUUUCAGGACAAGAUUUAGAAACAAACCAAUACCACCUUUAUUGUUCACCUGAACUGUUUAAACUUUUAAGCUACCUUGUGACAAUAUCAGAGUAUCCUUUUGUUGUGAUAAAUACGUGAUCUUCAGUCAAGCACUGGAAUAUUGCAUG